rnacentral:sRNA from 1 species
UGGCCUCCGUGCUUAUCAGCUUUGUGGCUGUGGGGCCGAGGGACAUCCGCUUGACCCCUCGGCCUGGCCCCAAUGGCUCCUCCCUGCCACCCCGGUUUGGCCACUUCACCGGCUUCAACAGCAAUACCCUGAAGGACAACUUGGGUGCUGGCUAUGCUGAGGACUACACCACGGGAGCCAUGAUGAAUUUUGCCAGCGUCUUUGCUGUCCUCUUUAACGGCUGUACAGGCAUCAUGGCUGGGGCCAACAUGUCAGGGGAGCUGAAGGACCCCAGCCGGGCGAUCCCUCUGGGCACGAUCGUCGCCGUCGCCUACACCUUCUUCGUCUAUGUCCUGCUUUUCUUUCUCUCCAGCUUCACUUGUGGCAGGACCCUGCUGCAGGAAGACUAUGGGUUCUUCCGCGCCAUCAGCCUGUGGCCCCCACUGGUGUUGAUCGGAAUCUAUGCCACGGCACUCUCAGCAUCCAUGAGCUCGCUCAUUGGUGCCUCCCGCAUCCUCCAUGCCCUGGCCCGGGAUGACCUCUUUGGAGUGAUCUUGGCACCAGCCAAGGUUGUGUCCCGAGGGGGAAACCCCUGGGCGGCUGUACUGUAUUCUUGGGGACUGGUGCAGGUGAGCCUUCUUCUUCAAGGGGCCCUUUCCCUCACCCCACCAGCUGGCAGGAUGGGGAUGCAGUUAGAUGCAGGCUGGGAGACAAAUGCAAAGACAAAUGCGUAUGCACUUGGGGGUGCACUGGCGCUCUGCAGGGUUCACUGGCACUUUGUGGGGUUCACCAGCACCUUGCAGGUUGCCCCAGUGCUUUGCAGGGUUCAUUGGCACCCUGGGGGGUUCACUGGCACUUUUU